AAAGGUUUGGUCCCAGCCUUGAAACCAAUUUUUACUACACAUACACAUGCAAGUCUCCGCACCCCUGUGAGAAUGCCCUUACACCCCCUCCUAGGGGUAAGGAGCUGAUAUCAGGCACAAUCAUUAGCCCAAGACAUCUAGCCAUGCCACACCCCCACGGGAAUUCAGCAGUGAUUAAUAUUGAGCAUAAGCGACAGCUUGACUCAGUUAAAGUAAAUAGAGCCGGCAAAUCUGGUGCCAGCCGCCGCGGUUACACCAUGUGGCUCAAAUUGAUAUCCUUCGGCGUAAAGCGUGAUUAAAGUAAAUAAUAAACUAGGGUCAAAUUAAAACUAAGCCGURAUAAACUUGUAAUUAAGAAGCCCAGAAACGAAAGUUACCCUAAUUUAAUCAACUUGACCUCACGACAGCUAGGGCACAAACUGGGAUUAGAUACCCCACUAUGCCUAGCCGUAAACCUUAAUAUACUAAUUAAUCGCCAGGGAACUACGAGCAAAGCUUAAAACCCAAAGGACUUGACGGUACCCCAUAUCCCCCUAGAGGAGCCUGUCCUAUAAUCGAUAAUCCACGCUAAACCUCACCAUUUCUAGUUUAUCAGCCUGUAUACCUCCGUCGUCAGCUURCCGCAUGAGCGACUUCCAGUGAGCCCAAAUGUCACACCCACACAUACGUCAGGUCAAGGUGCAGCAAAUGAAAUGGAAAGAGAUGGGCUACACUUUCUAACUUAGAAGACACGAAAGAUUACAUGAAACAUAAUCMGAAGGCGGAUUUAGAAGUAAGAGAGAAUCAUAAUGCCUCCCUUAACCCGGCACUGGGGUGUGUACACACCGCCCGUCACCCUCUUCAAAAAACAUAUCAUAGUAUUUAACAAACCAACACAAUACAGAAGAGGUAAGUCGUAACACGGUAAGUAUACCGGAAGGUGUGCUUGGACA
rnacentral:ncRNA from 1 species